ACUCCUACGGGAGGCAGCAGUAGGGAAUCUUCCACAAUGGGCGCAAGCCUGAUGGAGCAACACCGCGUGAGUGAAGAAGGGUUUCGGCUCGUAAAGCUCUGUUGUUAAAGAAGAACACGUAUGAGAGUAACUGUUCAUACGUUGACGGUAUUUAACCAGAAAGUCACGGCUAACUACGCGCCAGCAGCCGCGGUAAUACGUAGGUGGCAAGCGUUAUCCGGAUUUAUUGGGCGUAAAGAGAGUGCAGGCGGUUUUCUAAGUCUGAUGUGAAAGCCUUCGGCUUAACCGGAGAAGUGCAUCGGAAACUGGAUAACUUGAGUGCAGAAGAGGGUAGUGGAACUCCAUGUGUAGCGGUGGAAUGCGUAGAUAUAUGGAAGAACACCAGUGGCGAAGGCGGCUACCUGGUCUGCAACUGACGCUGAGACUCGAAAGCAUGGGUAGCGAACAGGAUUAGAUACCCUGGUAGGAUAGCG
rnacentral:rRNA from 1 species